rnacentral:sRNA from 1 species
GUCAGUCGACACAUGUUCCGUGCACCUAUGUUGCCAUUAAUCUAUUUUUAUCGUCAC